GAUGAAGAACGCAGCGAAAUGCGAUAAGUAAUGUGAAUUGCAGAAUUCAGUGAAUCAUCGAAUCUUUGAACGCACCUUGCACCCUUUGGCAUUCCGAAGGGUAUGCUCGUUUGAGUGUCAUUGUACUCUCACACUCCCAAUUGCUUUGGAUUGGGAGCGGUGGACUUGGGUGUUGCUGCUUGACUGAGGCUCACCUGAAAUAUGUUAGUGCACCUCUUGAUUGGACAUAGUACGGCGUGAUAAGUGUCUUCGCCGGCUCCUCGCAAAGAGGGUGGCCGAUCGGGAGCUCUGUUGCUUCAAACUGUCUUCGGACAAUCUUCUGGCGACUUGACCUCAAAUCGAGUAGGACUACCCGCUGAUCUUAAGCAUAUCAAUAAGCGGAGGA
rnacentral:misc_RNA from 1 species